AAGGUGCUAGUCCAAAAAAGAUGCUUGAUUUCGACUCAACCGAUCAUGGCUUAAACCCAUGGCACCUUU
rnacentral:tRNA from 1 species